CCUCGCUUAACUCAGUUGGUAGAGUGUGAGACUGUAAUGGAAGCUCCUCAAUCAUCUCAAUGUCUCCUGUUCGAUCCAGGAAGCGAGGA
rnacentral:tRNA from 1 species